GCCGGCCAGCUGAACUAUGUGGACCCAGCCACUGGCUACGUGGUGCUCACCCAGGUCGCUCACUUACAGAGAGGAAGAUGCUGCGGCUCUGCCUGCAGACACUGUCCAUAUGGUCAAGUCAACGUUAAAGACCCAUCUAAAAGAAAGCGAUUCAAUUCCUAUUUUUACAUUUGACAACAGUUUCAUCUCUGUUCUCCAUCUAAUUAAACCUUAUUUUAACUACAUUAAAAGAACAUCAAGAAAGUAAAAAAAAAAAAAAAAAAAAA